rnacentral:rRNA from 1 species
GACGAACGCUGGCGGCGUGCCUAAUACAUGCAAGUAGAACGCAGUUGCGAACGGGUGAGUAACGCGUAGGUAACUGCCUCAUAGCGGGGGAUAACUAUUGGAAACGAUAGCUAAUACCGCAUACUGUGAGAUGGACCUGCGUUGUAUUAGCUAGUUGGUGAGGUAAAGGCUCACCAAGGCGAAGAUACAUAGCCGACCUGAGAGGGUGAUACGCCACACUGUGACUGGGACACGGCCCAGAUCUCUACGGGAGGCAGCCGUAGGGAAUCUUCGGCAAUGGACGGAAGUCUUACCGAGAACCACCCCGUGAUUGAAGAAGGUUUUCGGAUUGUAAAGCUCUGUUGUUAGAGAAGCGGUACCUACCCAGAAAGCGACGGCUAACUACGUGCCAGCAGCCGCGGUAAUUC